rnacentral:tRNA from 2 species
GCGGCUAUGGCGGAAUUGGUAGACGCGCUAGCUUCAGGUGCUAGUGGGGGCAACUCCGUGGAUGUUCGAGUCAUCUUAGCCGCA